rnacentral:sRNA from 1 species
AGGGGGUGCCUUUCAGGCAUCCUCUCCUAAAACUUUCCAAGGCCGCCCUUUAUUGAGGCGGCCCUUUUUUUUGCCUCC